rnacentral:sRNA from 1 species
ACGUAGAAGAGGAUGUUUUAUUUUUAGGGAAACAAGAUUGCGUAAGUGAAUUUUACCAAUUAUCUGACUUAGUAUUAUUAUUAAGUGAAAAAGAAAGCUUUGGACUAACUUUACUUGAGGCUAUGAAAACAGGCGUCGUUCCAAUUGGUUCAAAUGCCGGUGGAAUUAAAGAGGUUAUUAAACAUGGUGAAACUGGAUUUGUCGUAGAUGUG